UGGGGAAUAUUGCACAAUGGAGGGAACUCUGAUGCAGCGACGCCGCGUGAGUGAUGAAGGAAUUCGUUUCGUAAAACUCUGUUCUAUGGGAAGAAAAGGACUGUACCAUAGGAGAAAGCUCCGGCUAAAUACGUGCCAGCAGCCGCGGUAAUACGUAUGGAGCGAGCGUUGUCCGGAAUUAUUGGGCGUAAAGGGUGCGCAGGCGGCUUUACAAGUUGGAUGUGAAAUAUUGUGGCUCAACCACAAACGUGCAUCCAAAACUGCAAAGCUUGAGUUAAGGAGAGGUAAGUGGAAUUCCUGGUGUAGCGGUGGAAUGCGUAGAUAUCAGGAGGAAUACCGGUGGCGAAGGCGACUCACUGGACUUAAACUGACGCUCAGGCACGAAAGCGUGGGGAGCAAACAGG
rnacentral:rRNA from 1 species